GCCUACGGGGGGCAGCAGUGAGGAAUAUUGGUCAAUGGGCGGGAGCCUGAACCAGCCAAGUCGCGUGAGGGAAGACGGUCCCAUGGAUUGUAAACCUCUUUAGGCGGGGAGCAAUGCCGGGCACGCGUGCCCGGAGGGAGAGUACCCGCAGAAUAAGCAUCGGCUAACUCCGUGCCAGCAGCCGCGGUAAUACGGAGGAUGCGAGCGUUAUCCGGAUUUAUUGGGUUUAAAGGGUGCGUAGGCGGAUUUUUAAGUCAGCGGCAACAUGUCCGGGCUCAACACGGGCCGGCCGGUGAAACUGGGGG
rnacentral:rRNA from 1 species